rnacentral:rRNA from 1 species
UGGGGAAUCUUGCACAAUGGGGGCAACCCUGAUGCAGCGACGCCGCGUGAGCGAUGAAGCCCUUCGGGGCGUAAAGCUCUUUCGCCCGCGAAGAUAAUGACGGUAGCGGGAGAAGAAGCCCCGGCUAACUCCGUGCCAGCAGCCGCGGUAAUACGGAGGGGGCUAGCGUUGUUCGGAAUUACUGGGCGUAAAGCGUACGUAGGCGGAUGCGCAAGUUGGGGGUGAAAUCCCGGGGCUUAACCUCGGAAUUGCCCUCAAAACUGCACGUCUUGAGACCGAGAGAGGUAAGGGGAAUUCCUAGUGUAGAGGUGAAAUUCGUAGAUAUUAGGAAGAACACCAGUGGCGAAGGCGCCUUACUGACUCGGUACUGACGCCGAGGUACGAAAGCGUGGGGAGCAAACA